rnacentral:rRNA from 1 species
GUGGGGAAUCUUGCGCAAUGGGCGAAAGCCUGACGCAGCCAUGCCGCGUGAAUGAUGAAGGUCUUAGGAUUGUAAAAUUCUUUCACCGGGGACGAUAAUGACGGUACCCGGAGAAGAAGCCCCGGCUAACUUCGUGCCAGCAGCCGCGGUAAUACGAAGGGGGCUAGCGUUGCUCGGAAUUACUGGGCGUAAAGGGCGCGUAGGCGGAUCGUUAAGUCAGGGGUGAAAUCCCAGAGCUCAACUCUGGAACUGCCCUUGAUACUGGCGAGCUUGAGUGUGAGAGAGGUAUGUGGAACUCCGAGUGUAGAGGUGAAAUUCGUAGAUAUUCGGAAGAACACCAGUGGCGAAGGCGACAUACUGGCUCAUUACUGACGCUGAGGCGCGAAAGCGUGGGGAGCAAACAGGAUUAGAAACCCCGGUAGUCC